CCGUCAAUUCCUUUAAGUUUUAACCUUGCGGCCGUAGUCCCCAGGCGGUAGACUUAUCGCGUUGGCUUCGGCACCCAUGUCUUUUACAACACAGACACCAAGUCUACAUCGUUUACGGCUAGGACUACCGGGGUUUCUAAUCCCGUUCGCUCCCCUAGCUUUCGCUUCUCAGCGUCAGGAACGGUCCAGGAGGCCGCCUUCGCCUCUGGUGUUCCUCCCGAUAUCUACGCAUUUCACCACUACACCGGGAAUUCCACCUCCCUCUACCGUCCUCUAGCUUAUCAGUCUUGUACGUCUGCUCCCAGUUGAGCCGGGAGGUUUUACAUCCAACUUGAUAUGCCGCCUACUCGCGCUUUACGCCCAGUGAAUUCGGAUAACGCUCGGAUCCUACGUUUUACCG
rnacentral:misc_RNA from 1 species